rnacentral:sRNA from 1 species
UGAAUUGGCACCAAUAAUAUAAUACAUCAAAUCCCAAGUUUUCGUCUGUUACUUAAAUGAUGAUAAUGUAGACAUUUUUACAUUGGAACUCAAAAUUCAUGAUCUCUUGUCCGCCAACACUCUCAUGAUGAUAAUGUAGACAUUUCUACGUUGGAACUCAAAAUUCAUGAUCUCUCGUCUGCUACACUCUCAUAUUGAUAUCACCAUUUUUCAAUUCGGUAAAACGAAUCUAAUUUCUCUAAAAAUAAAAGAAAUUAUGACAGUGUAAUAAAAAGUUUUUUUGUU